rnacentral:rRNA from 1 species
AGAGUUUGAUCAUGGCUCAGAGCGAACGUUUGCGGCGGGCCUAACACAUGCAAGUCGAACGGUAGUCCCUUCGGGGAUGAGAGUGGCGCACGGGUGCGUAACACGUGGAUAAUCUACCUUUUUGUUGGGGACAACCUUGGGAAACCAGGGCUAAUACCCGAUGUGUCUAUCUGGGGUGCGCUCCGGGUAGAGAAAGACCCGCAAGGGUUGCGAGAAGAUGAGUUCGCGUCCCAUCAGCUAGUUGGUGAGGUAAUGGCUCACCAAGGCGAAGACGGGUAACUGGUCUGAGAGGAUGAUCAGUCACACUGGAACUGAGACACGGUCCAGACUCCUACGGGAGGCAGCAGUGGGGAAUAUUGCGCAAUGGGCGGAAGCCUGACGCAGCCACGCCGCGUGAGCGAUGAAGGUCUUCGGAUCGUAAAGCUCUGUGGGGAGAGAAGAAGAGGCCAGCUGAAGAGGCUGGGAUGACGGUAUCUCCUUAGCAAGCACCGGCUAACUCUGUGCCAGCAGCCGCGGUAAUACAGAGGGUGCAAACGUUGCUCGGAAUUAUUGGGCGUAAAGCGCACGUAGGCGGUUUGUUAAGUUGGAUGUGAAAACCCUGGGCUCAACCCUGGAAGUGCAUCCAAGACUGACAAGCUAGAGUAUCGGAGGGGGUCGGAGAAUUCCCGGUGUAGAGGUGAAAUUCGUAGAUAUCGGGAGGAACAUCUGUGGCGAAGGCGCCGACCUGGACGAAAACUGACGCUGAGGUGCGAAAGCAUGGGGAGCAAACAGGAUUAGAUACCCUGGUAGUCCAUGCCGUAAACGAUGAGUGCUGGACGGUGGAAGAUUAUGACCCUUUCGUCGUCGAAGCUAACGCGUUAAGCACUCCGCCUGGGAAGUACGGUCGCAAGACUAAAACUCAAAGGAAUUGACGG